rnacentral:rRNA from 1 species
ACUCCUACGGGAGGCAGCAGUGGGGAAUAUUGCACAAUGGGGGAAACCCUGAUGCAGCCAUGCCGCGUGUGUGAAGAAGGCCUUCGGGUUGUAAAGCACUUUCAGUAGGGAGGAAGGUAGUGUAGUUAACACCUGCAUUAUUUGACGUUACCUACAGAAGAAGCACCGGCUAACUCCGUGCCAGCAGCCGCGGUAAUACGGAGGGUGCGAGCGUUAAUCGGAAUUACUGGGCGUAAAGCGCAUGCAGGCGGCCUGUUAAGUCAGAUGUGAAAGCCCGGGCUUAACCUCGGAAUUGCAUUUGAAACUGGCAGGCUAGAGUCUUGUAGAGGGGGGUAGAAUUUCAGGUGUAGCGGUGAAAUGCGUAGAGAUACUGAAGGAAUACCAGUGGCGAAGCGACCCCCUGGACAAAGACUGACGCUCAGAUGCGAAAGCGUGGGGAGCAAAACAGGAUUAGAUACCCUGGUAGCACAGA